AGAGUUUGAUCAUGGCUCAGAUUGAACGCUGGCGGCAUGCUUUACACAUGCAAGUCGAACGGCAGCACGGGGGCAACCCUGGUGGCGAGUGGCGAACGGGUGAGUAAUAUAUCGGAACAUGUCCGGAAGUGGGGGAUAACGUACCGAAAGGUACGCUAAUACCGCAUAUGCCCUGAGGGGGAAAGGGGGGGAUCGCAAGACCUCUCGCUUUCGGAGUGGCCGAUAUCGGAUUAGCUAGUAGGUGAGGUAAAGGCUCACCUAGGCGACGAUCCGUAGCUGGUCUGAGAGGACGACCAGCCACACUGGAACUGAGACACGGUCCAGACUCCUACGGGAGGCAGCAGUGGGGAAUUUUGGACAAUGGGCGAAAGCCUGAUCCAGCCAUGCCGCGUGAGUGAAGAAGGCCUUCGGGUUGUAAAGCUCUUUCAGACGGAAAGAAACGGUCACGGUUAAUAACUGUGGCUAAUGACGGUACCGUAAGAAGAAGCACCGGCUAACUACGUGCCAGCAGCCGCGGUAAUACGUAGGGUGCGAGCGUUAAUCGGAAUUACUGGGCGUAAAGCGUGCGCAGGCGGUUUUUUAAGCCAGAUGUGAAAUCCCCGGGCUUAACCUGGGAACUGCAUUUGGAACUGGAAGACUAGAGUGUAGCAGAGGGGGGUAGAAUUCCACGUGUAGCAGUGAAAUGCGUAGAUAUGUGGAGGAAUACCAAUGGCGAAGGC
rnacentral:rRNA from 1 species